GAUUUGGAGGUUGUGCCCUUGAGGCGUGGCUUCCGGAGCUAACGCGUUAAAUCGACCGCCUGGGGAGUACGGCCGCAAGGUUAAAACUCAAAUGAAUUGACGGGGGCCCGCACAAGCGGUGGAGCAUGUGGUUUAAUUCGAUGCAACGCGAAGAACCUUACCUGGUCUUGACAUCCACAGAAGUUUCCAGAGAUGGGAACGUGCCUUCGGGAACUGUGAGACAGGUGCUGCAUGGCUGUCGUCAGCUCGUGUUGUGAAAUGUUGGGUUAAGUCCCGCAACGAGCGCAACCCUUAUCCUUUGUUGCCAGCGGUCCGGCCGGGAACUCAAAGGAGACUGCCAGUGAUAAACUGGAGGAAGGUGGGGAUGACGUCAAGUCAUCAUGGCCCUUACGACCAGGGCUACACACGUGCUACAAUGGCGCAUACAAAGAGAAGCGACCUCGCGAGAGCAAGCGGACCUCAUAAAGUGCGUCGUAGUCCGGAUUGGAGUCUGCAACUCGACUCCAUGAAGUCGGAAUCGCUAGUAAUCGUGGAUCAGAAUGCCACGGUGAAUACGUUCCCGGGCCUUGUACACACCGCCCGUCACACCAUGGGAGUGGG
rnacentral:rRNA from 2 species